UACGUAGGGUGCGAGCGUUGUCCGGAAUUAUUGGGCGUAAAGGGCUCGUAGGCGGUUUGUCGCGUCGGGAGUGAAAACCUCGGGCUUAACUCGGGGCUUGCUUUCGAUACGGGCAGACUGGAGGUAUGCAGGGGAGAACGGAAUUCCUGGUGUAGCGGUGGAAAUGCGCAGAUAUCAGGAGGAACACCGGUGGCGAAGGCGGUGCUCUGGGCCGAAACUGACGCUGAGGCGCGAAAGCUAGGGAGCAAACGGG
rnacentral:rRNA from 1 species